rnacentral:tRNA from 1 species
GGCCACCUUCCAGGCGCGUCCGCCUGAUUCCCAAGCUGAGAACGCGGGUUCGAUUCCCGUCAUCCGCUCCA